rnacentral:rRNA from 1 species
CCUACGGGGCGCACCAGUGGGGAAUAUUGCACAAUGGGCGCAAGCCUGAUACAGCCAUGCCGCGUGUAUGAAGAAGGCCUUCGGGUUGUAAAGUACUUUCAGCGGGGAGGAAGGUGUUGAGGUUAAUAACCUCAGCAAUUGACGUUACCCGCAGAAGAAGCACCGGCUAACUCCGUGCCAGCAGCCGCGGUAAUACGGAGGGUGAAGCGUUAAUCGGAAUUACUGGGCGUAAAGCGCACGCAGGCGGUCUGUCAAGUCGGAUGUGAAAUCCCCGGGAUCAACCUGGGAACUGCAUUCGAAACUGGCAGGCUGGAGUCUUGUAGAGGGGGGUAGAAUUCCAGGUGUAGCGGUGAAAUGCGUAGAGAUCUGGAGGAAUACCGGUGGCGAAGGCGGCCCCCUGGACAAAGACUGACGCUCAGGUGCGAAAGCGUGGGGAGCAAACAGGAUUAGAUACCCCCGUAGUC